rnacentral:hammerhead_ribozyme from 1 species
GUACCGCAGAAGAGUCCACAUUAGGACGAAACAGCUGUCCAAUAC